rnacentral:rRNA from 1 species
UACGUAGGCAGCGAGCGUUGUUCGGAGUUACUGGGCGUAAAGAGUGCGUAGGCGGUUUUCUAAGUUUGGUGUGAAAUCUCCCGGCUCAACUGGGAGGGUGCGCCGAAGACUGGAAGGCUUGAGUAUGGGAGAGGUAAGCGGAAUUCCUGGUGUAGCGGUGAAAUGCGUAGAUAUCGAGAGGAACACCUGCGGCGAAGGCGGGUUGCUGGGCUGACACUGACGCUGAAGCGCGAAAGCUAGGGGAGCGAACGGG